UGAAGAUCUCGGUUUUCCGGGGGCCUUCAUCUCCUGAAGAGCUGUUAGACGAGGUCUCUCAUUACUUGAAGUCGUCCAGUCCAGACGCCGCUACCCUCAUAGCUCCUCUAAAAGCUGCAUCCAUUGAUUCAUGUGACACAAUAGCGAAUGUGAAGGGAGGAAAGAAGAAAAAAGACAAGCAUUAGAAGAACAAAA